UUUUAUUUUGUACCGACACUUCCUGCCCCGCCCAUGGAGACUUGAACGCGGAAGUAUUGACGAAUCCACCUGCGCCGGGUCGGACGAUAAGGAAAAACACCUCAUCCUUGUCUCCCUGGAGGUGCAGCAGCAGCCAUGAAACUCGGACUGCACUUUGUGGUCGACCCCGCGGGCUGGCUAUGCGUCGGCGCCGUCUUUGGGAUCUGGCUCUACAACUCCAUUUUUGUUCCCAAGCUGAUUCUGCUGCCACACUACAGAGAAGGCCACAUUUCCUGGGCUCUCGUCAUUUGUUAUUAUGCUGCGUCAGCACUGUGCUUUUAGCCCUGUUCAGGGCGUCCACGGCGGAUCCUGGUCAUCUUCCUCCAAACCCCCAU